GCCAGGGUAGCUCAGUGCUAGAGCUCCUGACUAGAGGUACAGGAAUUCCGGGUUCGAUUCCUGGUCCAGCCA
rnacentral:tRNA from 1 species